UUUACGUCGUGUACACGUUGUCCUAUGGGACACGGGCGUAAAACAGAGUCGUUUGUUAAGCCGUUUUAAGCCACGAGUAGAGAUACGAGCUAGUUAGGAAAACAAAGUGGUAUAAACACGUUGAGUAGCCUCGUGGCCUCGUGGUUUACGAGACACGCGAUUCCGAUGUUUCACUCGAUACCAUCGAGAAUUUAAUAUACAUGCUCGCGGAUCGAUUCGAGCGUUACAAGCGCGACGACAAAUAUCCUCUUCUCCCUGGCCGAGACGACAUCGAUUCCUCCCUAUCAUCGCGUUCGUUAAAAUCGAAAGCUAACACCACCAUGCAACGAGAAUUGUUCCUACUCCCCCGUUCUGGUGUUUAUUUGCACGCGGAUUGAGGGUACGGAUAAAAAUCCGAUCCCGUGUGAACAAGUGUAAAAAGAGAACGAAUAAACACGUGGGACGGGAGAGAAGGAUAUAGGAAAUUUCUUUUUUAGCUUUACCUAAUUUGUAACUCAAACGUUUCUCGCGUCUGUAUUCAUCGAUUUGAAGACGGAAUAUUCCCGGAUAUGAGGACUAUAUGGAAAUAGGCGUGUACAAGGGAACGGAAACCGCAGAAGGCGGAGACCUACGAAAUAUAACGGAAUUCUGGGUCGUAAACGCUUGGAACAGAUCGUGGCCAUAUAUAUCCGAAAAGAUAUAUUCUCACGAAUUGGUUGAUAAGAGUGAAAAAUAGAGAAUUUUGACCGAUGAAGUUUUACAGUGGAUGAUAUGCUGACAUAACCAAUAGUACCUAAGAAGUAAUGAGAGUGUAAACGGUGGUCAUAUAAGAGGAUCAGCGCUUCGUUUCUUAACAAGUAUCACGCUGCUCUAUUCCACGAUACUAAAGUGCCAAUUAUUUUUACGUCGGUUUUACCGCGACCUCGAUAAUCGUGAUGUGGUAUGGACGCAAUUAGCGAAUCGAAUAGAGCUCAGAUCGAAUGGGAUCGAAUCGAAUCCUACUCGAUGAUUUCCACUUUUGCGAAAACAUUCCAUCGUAGUCCGCGUAUCAAAGGCAUCGACUAAUUACGAGAUAUUCGAGUACCAGAUAUCGUAAGGGCCGUUGUCGUUGAGCUCCUUCCUUUAUACCGAACUGGACGAUUCGCAACCGAUUCGCUUUGAUCUCGGACGGUUCCCCGUUUAUUUCGAAAACUUUUCGUCCAUCGGGAAUACGAACUGGAAUUCAACGAUUUGCAGGAGAAUCGAGCAAAAGCUAUGCGCUUGUCGAGCGAAAAAUUUAAUUAUUCUCGAAACAGAGCCAGAGAGGACUCUGAUAAAUUUUAUUUCACUGUUACACUUGUCGACGGUCUGUGGGUCAAGCACGAAAACUCGCUAUUUAAUUAUACGGGAGAGAAAGAUGAAUUUAUAAAGAGUAAGUUUCCUAAUAGUGUAAAAACAUAAAUAAAUCACCAUUUACUUGUGUAAAAAAAUGUUUUAAAUAAAAGUUAUAU